rnacentral:rRNA from 1 species
UACAGAGGGUGCGAGCGUUAAUCGGAAUUACUGGGCGUAAAGCGUGCGUAGACGGUUAUUUAAGUCGGAUGUGAAAGCCCCGGGCUCAACCUGGGAAUUGCAUUCGAGACUGAAUAGCUAGGGUGCGGUAGAGGGAAGCGGAAUUUCCGGUGUAGCGGUGAAAUGCGUAGAUAUCGGAAGGAACACCAGCGGCGAAGGCGGCGCUCUGGGCCGGUACUGACACUGAGGAGCGAAAGCGUGGGUAGCAAACAGG